AGAAUCAACGCUGGCGGCGUGCCUAACACAUGCAAGUCGCACGAGAAAGUGGAGCAAUCCAUGAGUACAGUGGCGCACGGGUGAGUAACACGUGACUAACCUACCCUUGAGUGGGGGAUAACCUAGAGAAAUCUGGGCUAAUACCGCAUAAUACCUUCGGGUCAAAGGAGCAAUUCGCUUUAGGAGGGGGUCGCGGCCGAUUAGUUAGUUGGCGGGGUAAUGGCCCACCAAGACUGUGAUCGGUA
rnacentral:rRNA from 1 species